rnacentral:rRNA from 1 species
UACGUAGGGUGCAAGCGUUAAUCGGAAUUACUGGGCGUAAAGCGUGCGCAGGCGGCUUUGCAAGACAGAUGUGAAAUCCCCGGGCUCAACCUGGGAACUGCAUUUGUGACUGCAAGGCUGGAGUACGGCAGAGGGGGAUGGAAUUCCGCGUGUAGCAGUGAAAUGCGUGGAUAUGCGGAGGAACACCGAUGGCGAAGGCAAUCCCCUGGGCCUGUACUGACGCUCAUGCACGAAAGCGUGGGGAGCAAACAGG